GUAGGUGGCAAGCGUUGUCCGGAAUUAUUGGGCGUAAAGCGCGCGCAGGCGGUCCUUUAAGUCUGAUGUGAAAGCCCACGGCUCAACCGUGGAGGGUCAUUGGAAACUGGGGGACUUGAGUACAGAAGAGGAAAGCGGAAUUCCAAGUGUAGCGGUGAAAUGCGUAGAGAUUUGGAGGAACACCAGUGGCGAAGGCGGCUUUCUGGUCUGUAACUGACGCUGAGGCGCGAAAGCGUGGGGAGCAAACAGGGAUUAGAUACCCUGGCAGUCCACGCCGUAAACGAUGAGUGCUAAGUGUUAGGGGGGUUUCCGCCCCCUUAGUGCUGCAGCUAACGCAUUAAGCACUCCGCCUGGGGAGUACGGCCGCAAGGCUG
rnacentral:rRNA from 1 species